UGAACCACGUUCGGCCACAUGGGAGCCCAAGGCCCUUAACCACCACACCACCUGCCAGCGCCAUGGCAGCAGUCUGCUUGGCCCACAUGAUGAACAUUUUCAGCACAAUACAAGCGUCGUUUUCUGACCCUGACGGGCUCCUCCUCGCUGUGUGUCAUUAUCUUACCCUCCCAGGCGUCUGAGAGGUGCCAUACUUUCCCAUUACGGAUGGUACUGUGUAGGCGGGGGAGGGUAACGAUGGCAGGUACCCAACGGCAUGUCAUCCAACUUUCCAUUUUAAGACGUACUGAAUUCUCUAAGUAGGUUCUUUAAAUCCUGUAAUGAGGAUGUUUAAGCCAACCCGUUACCUGUUAAAUCACCAUAAUGUGGCUACAGUAGCCUUUCCAAAGUGGGCUGCCUUGCAGCGCUCUGUGUUCACGUUGUCACAGCCAAGAGCGCACCCUGGCUCCUAAGACGACAACAGGCUACACCCGCCAGGUCUGCGACAGGUCUGCCGGAUGACGAAACUGCCCGACUCUGCAUUUCACAGUAAAGCACCCCGUCUUCAAGCAAUACGUGACUGUAGAUUAAUGAACAAAGAAAGGCUCUACAUCCAAUUCUAAGAUCUAUGAAGAGCGUAAUCUACCUGCGGAAACCAGUAAGUGGCACGCUCUGUCAUGGAGAAGAGAAAAAAGACAAGCCUACGGGACAUGGUCUUGGUUGUUAUUUUAAAAUACCUUCCCACAAUAUGGGUACAGCAUGAGUAACAAUAAAUAAAUACAUGGCUUUCAGUUUAUUAAAGAAAUGGAGAGUUCAAGCGCCAGCCUGGGCACUCAGCGCUGUGACCCUGAGCAAGGCCACACCACCUACAUCAUAGGAAAGUCUUAAUGGAAGUGCACGGCCAGGCGGUGGCGAUGCACCUGGACCCACGAGGGAGAGGGCCUGGGCUUAUGUCCCUGGGCUCCCCUGGGCUCCGGGCUGGCUGGAGGUGAAGACCCUGCUCCCCCCCACUGGGGGUGACAGCCUCUCGUGGAAUAAAAAGAUGACGACCAAACUGGAAAGCGCGCCUCUGCAGAACAGGAGCCCCCGUCCCCACGCCAUUUUAGACUAUGGAAAUGGUGCUGCACAGAGACCGAAUUCGCGUAAUUUUCUUAUUCGAGUUCAAAAUGGGUCGUAAAGCAGCAGAGACGACUCAGCAGCAGCAGCUCCUCUGGCCCGGGAACCGCUAACAGACCUAAGGUGCACGGGUGGUUCGAGAAGUUCUGCAAAGGAGACGAGAGCCUUGAAAACACACAGUGUGGUGGCGGGCCACUGGAGGUGGACCAUGACCAACCUCGGGGAGCAGUCACCGAAGCUGAGCCUCUCAGAACUACACGAGAAGUUGCCAGAGGACUCGAUGUCAACCGUCGCAUGGUUGUGGGGCAGUUGAAGGGAACUGGUAAGGUGAAAGAGCUCCUAAGGGGGUGCCUCAUGGACUGACCAAAGAUAAAAACCAUCAGCGCUCUGAAGUGGCAUCCUUUCAUUCCACACAACCCACUUCUCGACUGGACCAGUUUUAUACGACCAGCAACGACCAGCUCAGCGGUGGGCCCAGAGGGACCCCAAAGCACUUCCCAAAGCUCAACUUGAACAACGAAGAGGUCACGGGCGCAGCUGGCGGGCCCGAUCCACCAUGGCUUUCUGAAUCCUGGCGAAACCAUUGCAUCGAUGAGAUGCCCCAACGCCAGGCCUGCAGCCGGCACUGGUCAGCUCUCCGUGACAACGCGUGACCUCACGGCACACAGCCAGUGCUUCUGAAGCUGAACGAACAGCGCCACCGAGUCUUGCCUCGUCCGCCAUAUUCCCCCGGCCUCUCGCCAA